rnacentral:rRNA from 1 species
GGGUUGUGAGGUUAAGCGACUAAGCGUACACGGUGGAUGCCCUGGCAGUCAGAGGCGAUGAAGGGCGUGCUAAUCUGCGAUAAGCGCCGGUAAGGUGAUAUGAACCGUUAUAACCGGCGAUACCCGAAUGGGGAAACCCAGUGUGAUUCGUCACACUAUCAUUAACUGAAUCCAUAGGUUAAUGAGGCGAACCGGGGGAACUGAAACAUCUAAGUACCCCGAGGAAAAGAAAUCAACCGAGAUUCCCCCAGUAGCGGCGAGCGAACGGGGAGGAGCCCAGAGCCUGAAUCAGCAUGUGUGUUAGUGGAAGCGUCUGGAAAGGCGCGCGAUACAGGGUGACAGCCCCGUACACAAAAGCGCAUGUGCUGUGAGCUCGAUGAGUAGGGCGGGACACGUGGUAUCCUGUCUGAAUAUGGGGGGACCAUCCUCCAAGGCUAAAUACUCCUGACUGACCGAUAGUGAACCAGUACCGUGAGGGAAAGGCGAAAAGAACCCCGGCGAGGGGAGUGAAAAAGAACCUGAAACCGUGUACGUACAAGCAGUGGGAGCNNNNNNNNNNNNNNNNNNNNNNNGGGCGUUAAGUUGCAGGGUAUAGACCCGAAACCCGGUGAUCUAGCCAUGGGCAGGUUGAAGGUUGGGUAACACUAACUGGAGGACCGAACCGACUAAUGUUGAAAAAUUAGCGGAUGACCUGUGGCUGGGGGUGAAAGGCCAAUCAAACCGGGAGAUAGCUGGUUCUCCCCGAAAGCUAUUUAGGUAGCGCCUCGUGAAUUCAUCUCCGGGGGUAGAGCACUGUUUCGGCUAGGGGGCCAUCCCGGCUUACCAACCCGAUGCAAACUGCGAAUACCGGAGAAUGUUAUCACGGGAGACACACGGCGGGUGCUAACGUCCGUCGUGAAGAGGGAAACAACCCAGACCGCCAGCUAAGGUCCCAAAGUCAUGGUUAAGUGGGAAACGAUGUGGGAAGGCCCAGACAGCCAGGAUGUUGGCUUAGAAGCAGCCAUCAUUUAAAGAAAGCGUAAUAGCUCACUGGUCGAGUCGGCCUGCGCGGAAGAUGUAACGGGGCUAAACCAUGCACCGAAGCUGCGGCAGCGACACUGUGUGUUGUUGGGUAGGGGAGCGUUCUGUAAGCCUGCGAAGGUGGCCUGUGAGGGUUGCUGGAGGUAUCAGAAGUGCGAAUGCUGACAUAAGUAACGAUAAAGCGGGUGAAAAGCCCGCUCGCCGGAAGACCAAGGGUUCCUGUCCAACGUUAAUCGGGGCAGGGUGAGUCGACCCCUAAGGCGAGGCCGAAAGGCGUAGUCGAUGGGAAACGGGUUAAUAUUCCCGUACUUGGUGUUACUGCGAAGGGGGGACGGAGAAGGCUAUGUUGGCCGGGCGACGGUUGUCCCGGUUUAAGCGUGUAGGUGUGUGUUCCAGGUAAAUCCGGUUCACUUUAACACUGAGGCGUGACGACGAGGCACUACGGUGCUGAAGCAACAAAUGCCCUGCUUCCAGGAAAAGCCUCUAAGCAUCAGGUAACAUCAAAUCGUACCCCAAACCGACACAGGUGGUCAGGUAGAGAAUACCAAGGCGCUUGAGAGAACUCGGGUGAAGGAACUAGGCAAAAUGGUGCCGUAACUUCGGGAGAAGGCACGCUGACACGUAGGUGAAGUGAUUUACUCAUGGAGCUGAAGUCAGUCGAAGAUACCAGCUGGCUGCAACUGUUUAUUAAAAACACAGCACUGUGCAAACACGAAAGUGGACGUAUACGGUGUGACGCCUGCCCGGUGCCGGAAGGUUAAUUGAUGGGGUCAGCGCAAGCGAAGCUCCUGAUCGAAGCCCCGGUAAACGGCGGCCGUAACUAUAACGGUCCUAAGGUAGCGAAAUUCCUUGUCGGGUAAGUUCCGACCUGCACGAAUGGCGUAAUGAUGGCCAGGCUGUCUCCACCCGAGACUCAGUGAAAUUGAACUCGCUGUGAAGAUGCAGUGUACCCGCGGCAAGACGGAAAGACCCCGUGAACCUUUACUAUAGCUUGACACUGAACAUUGAGCCUUGAUGUGUAGGAUAGGUGGGAGGCUUUGAAGUGUGGACGCCAGUCUGCAUGGAGCCGACCUUGAAAUACCACCCUUUAAUGUUUGAUGUUCUAACGUGGACCCGUUACCCGGGUUGCGGACAGUGUCUGGUGGGUAGUUUGACUGGGGCGGUCUCCUCCUAAAGAGUAACGGAGGAGCACGAAGGUUGGCUAAUCCUGGUCGGACAUCAGGAGGUUAGUGCAAUGGCAUAAGCCAGCUUGACUGCGAGCGUGACGGCGCGAGCAGGUGCGAAAGCAGGUCAUAGUGAUCCGGUGGUUCUGAAUGGAAGGGCCAUCGCUCAACGGAUAAAAGGUACUCCGGGGAUAACAGGCUGAUACCGCCCAAGAGUUCAUAUCGACGGCGGUGUUUGGCACCUCGAUGUCGGCUCAUCACAUCCUGGGGCUGAAGUAGGUCCCAAGGGUAUGGCUGUUCGCCAUUUAAAGUGGUACGCGAGCUGGGUUUAGAACGUCGUGAGACAGUUCGGUCCCUAUCUGCCGUGGGCGCUGGAGAACUGAGGGGGGCUGCUCCUAGUACGAGAGGACCGGAGUGGACGCAUCACUGGUGUUCGGGUUGUCAUGCCAAUGGCACUGCCCGGUAGCUAAAUGCGGAAGAGAUAAGUGCUGAAAGCAUCUAAGCACGAAACUUGCCCCGAGAUGAGUUCUCCCUGAGACUUAGAGUCUCCUGAAGGAACGUUGAAGACGACGACGUUGAUAGGCCGGGUGUGUAAGCGCAGCGAUGCGUUGAGCUAACCGGUACUAAUGAACCGUGAGGCUUAACCUUACAACGCCGAAG